rnacentral:rRNA from 1 species
CCUACGGGAGGCAGCAGUGGGGGAUAUUGGACAAUGGGGGAAACCCUGACCCAGCGACGCCGCGUGAGUGAAGAAGUAUUUCGGUUUGUAAAGCUCUAUCAGCAGGGAAGAAAGAAAUGACGGUACCUGAUUAAGAAGCCACGGCUAACUACGUGCCAGCAGCCGCGGUAAUACGUAGGGGGCAAGCGUUAUCCGGAAGUACUGGGUGUAAAGGGCGCGUAGGCGGUAAUGCAAGUCUGAAGUGAAAGGCGGGGGCCCAACCCCCGGACUGCUCUUGAAACUGUGUAACUGGAGUGCAGGAGAGGCAGGCGGAAUUCCUAGUGUAGCGGUGAAAGGCGUAGAUAUUAGGAGGAACACCAGUGGCGAAGGCGGCCUGCUGGACUGUAACUGACGUUGAGGCGCGAAAGCGUGGGGAGCAAACAGGAUUAGAUACCCUUGUAGUC